GAUGAAGACGCAGCGAAACGCGAUAUGUAAUGUGAAUUGCAGAAUUCAGUGAAUCAUCGAAUCUUUGAACGCACAUGGCGCCUUCCAGUAUCCUGGGAGGCAUGCCUGUCCGAGCGUCGUUUCAACCCUCGAGCCCCCGUGGCCCGGCGUUGGGGAUCUGCCCAGGCAGUCCCCGAAAACCAGUGGCGGACCCGUUACAGGCCCUUCCCUUGCGUAGUAGCAUUCGCCUCGCAUCGGGAGCCGGCGGGCUUCCAGCCUCUAAACCCCCAUCAAGUCCGCCCCGGCGGCACCAAGGUUGACCUCGGAUCAGGUAGGAAUACCCGCUGAACUUAAGCAUAUCAAUAAGCGGAGGA
rnacentral:misc_RNA from 1 species